rnacentral:rRNA from 1 species
UCCAGACUCCUACGGGAGGCAGCAGUGGGGAAUAUUGGGCAAUGGAGGAAACUCUUACCCAGCAAUGCCGCGUGAGUGAAGAAGGUCUUCGGAUUGUAAAGCUCUUUGAUUGGGGAUGAAUAAACGACGGUACCCAAAGAACAAGCCCCGGCUAACUACGUGCCAGCAGCCGCGGUAAUACGUAGGUGGCAAGCGUUAUCCGGAUUUAUUGGGUGUAAAGGGGGCGCAGACGGCGAUGCAAGCCAGGAGUGAAAGCCCGGGGCCCAACCCCGGGACUGCUCUUGGAACUGCGUGGCUGGAGUGCAGGAGGGGCAGGCGGAAUUCCUGGUGUAGCGGUGAAAUGCGUAGAUAUCAGGAGGAACACCGGUGGCGAAGGCGGCCUGCUGGACUGCAACUGACGUUGAGGCCCGAAAGCGUGGGGAGCAAACAGGAUUAGAUACCCCAGUAC